GACGAACCGUGCGAACGUUAUUUGGAAUCACUGGGCUUAAAGGGUGCGUAGGCUGCGAGGAGGGUGGGGUGUGAAAUCCCUCGGCCUAACCGAGGAAUUGCGCUCCAAACCGCCUUGCUGGAGUGAGACAGAGGUGAGCGGAACUAAUGGUGGAGCGGUGAAAUGCGUUGAUAUCAUUAGGAACACCAGAGGCGAAGGCGGCUCACUGGGUCUCAACUGACGCUGAUGCACGAAAGCUAGGGUAGCGAACGGG
rnacentral:rRNA from 1 species